UCCAGACCCGAAAUGGUGAAUGUAUAACACGGUAUGUCAUAUGUACUAAUGAUGAUCUUCAUACUGACGUCAAACGCUAUUUUACGGAAAUCGAACCGGAAGAAGAUGAUAGUUUACAAUUUUGUGAAGCUAUAGGAGCAACAUGUUAUAAAUUGCACGGUGAAAUACCCGAUCUGAACGAACAAUUGAAAAAAGUGUAUGAACAGGAAUUUUACACAGAUUCGGAAUUUUAUGAGAAAAAAGACGAGUUCUUUAGUAAAUUUCUGCUUAUAUGUAACUCCAAAAAUCAAGAACAACUACGUCUACCAGCUAUGAACCUGUUGCCAGAAUGGUGUGAUAAAACUCAACAUGAAAUAUUAAUUAAUGAUUUGGUGGGUUUACUGAAUAAUAGCAUUUACAGCGAACCACGUUAUGGCGUAGACCUUGAACGUUUGCAAAACUGGUUUUUGGAAAAUCAUCUCAACCAAAACAUCAGCGACUUGAAGCGUUUGUCAGAAGAGCAUCUGGAGGCAGUACUCGAAAAACAUUGUAAUAUUGAAGUUAAGUCGGAAAGUUUGGAAAAAUUAAAGUUGUUUCAAUUUCUAAAGGAUUCGGGUUCUGGAAUUUAUGAGUUUAACAGCACGCUUGAUUUGACAGUUAGCUCUCGCAUUUUACUUCAAGCGCUAUCGCUAUUAACAUAUGAAACAAUAUUCAUUGAUAGUACAAAGUAUGCAAAACAGCAAGAUAUGAAUGAUGCCCUCAAGGUUUUGCUGUUGUAUCUUAGAGAUGUAAAUCAUCCUACUAUCAAAGUGGUAACGAUACUAGGGAAGCAUGAUCGUACAUCCAUAAAUGAGAUGAAGGAAUUAGUAGGAAAAUAUCGUCAAAAGAUCGUUGUUGUAGGAAAUAUUGCUGGAAGUCUACAAGAUGAAGAUAUUGCUGAUAGAAUUGUUGUGAAUGAUCUCUCAGAUAAAGCUUCGACAGAUUUGUACACGCAAGCUGAACGACCGAUUUUUGGUUCAACAACGGCAUUGAGCAGCAUUGUGAAAAUAAGCGACGAUUUAACCUUUUUGUUAAAUGUAUUGGAUCCUUGUGACCAGUUGAGGAAGAUAAUAGAUCAUAAUUUAAAUGAGUUGAAUUAUACAAAUAUUAAACACUGGUAUGUUCCUCGCCAUAUUGUUCCUCAUGAGCAGUUGGAAUUGUGGUCGGAAUGGUCGGUGGAAUGGGGAGCAUUGGAGGAAUAUAGAAGCAUAAGAGAAUACGAGGCAUCAAUAUCGAAUGUUAAGAAAGCAUUAGCCGCAAACGACGAAGAAUGUAUUCCACCAGAUUUUCAAGACACUGGCAGAGGCAAGGUGUUUAUUUUCCUCAACGAUUCAGGACUCGGUAAAAGCACCUACUUUACCUCGUUAGCCUAUUGUUUGUCAACUUUCGAUCCAUCUCUCUAUAUUAUCAAGUUUAUCGCGAUGGAGUUUUCGACUGAUUUCAAACGGCUGAUAGAUAAUAACGUAGAAAACCUAGACGAUACACAAAUUGUGAGGUUAUUGUAUCGAUACAUACAUUUAGCGCUUUUCGUACCGAGUAUCAACAAAAGCGACAUUGAAGAGACCAACGUUAUAAGAAAAAAGGCCGAUCAUUGUGCAAAUCUACUGACAGUUUCAAGCGGUAAAAUAGUAUUGGAUGAAUCGAACCUGAAAAUGGAAAAACUAAUCGAAUUGCGCUUGUUCCAGGAGAAGUUUAAUCAUCAGAAGAUUGUGUUAAUACUAGACGGAUACGAUGAGACCGCGCCAUGGUACAAUGGUGUGGUACUAAAGUGUUUUGCUCGAUUCUCUCAUCUUGAAGGAAUCAGAUCUAUAUUCCUGUCUAGUCGACCUUACGACUUCGAAGAGGAAUUGAAGACAACCUUCGAACAAUGUCGAAUGUAUGGGUUAAACCCAUUUUCAGAUGAUGAAAUUAUGAUUUCCAUUCACAAAUUUCUUAAUAACAAAUUAGAUGGCUACGAGCAUUACGAAAAGGAUCAUCAAAUUGAUAUAGUCAGGGAGCUGUUUUGUAUAUUCUCCUAUGUUUUGAAAGAUAUGAUAAGCAUUCCAUUGUUGCUGUACAUCGCCCAGUGUAUCUUAUUACCCGUGAUAAAGACGCGUGUGGAUGAAUUUACACAUACAAUAUCGGAUGAAAUGUUGAACGAAACAAAAUUUGACAUACUUUAUCUGGUUGAAGAGUUUGUAGGAAGAAAGAUGAAAAUAUUAUUCACAGCUAAAAAAGGAGCUACCGAUUCUGCUGCUAACGUACCUGCAUCCAAGAAAUUUGAAGCUCGAUUCAAACAAGAAAUUAAGGAACAGCACAUUCUGUUGGCCAUGUACGUUCUUUUCGAUAGAGAUGUUCUAGCACAACUAUUGUCCGAGAAGGAACGGAAGCAUGCUAACGAGAUAAUGGAGGAAGUCAACCAAGGCGAUGAAAAAACAGGAAUCGUCCUUGGGGUACAAAAUGGAGUCCCUCAAUUCCUGCAUCGAACAUUUGCAGAGUAUUUCACUGCUUGUUGGUUGUUCGAAAACAGAAAACGAUUUAAAGAUGAAAGCAUUUUUCACUCACAAACGAUUUGGUCGAAAUCGUUAAGGAAAACCCGCGAAUUUUUUGACCGACUUAUACUUCGAGAAAGCAAAGAUUGUCAUUUACACUUGGCACUGGUGAACGGAUCUCGUACACAGGUUAAAAAAAUUCUACGCAAUAAUCCUUCUGCAGUUACUGUCCCGGACAUGGUUGGCCGCUUACCAUUGCAUUUUGCAGCAUAUUUAGAUGGUUUUCCAAAUUCUAUAAUAAAAAGGAUAAUUUGUAAAGAAAAUAAUAAAACUGAUCAGCUUUGCGGAUGGACAGCUUUAGAUUAUGCAUUUCUUCUGGACAAGAAGAGAGUUAUAAAGUUGUUCUUUAAAAGUGAUGUAAAUCCUAAUAUGGACAAUUUGUUCAAACAGGUGCGUUCCAAUUCUAUGAAUGUAUUACUUGAGAUGGCUUGUAAUUACACAGACACUUUUGUUAAAUUGGUGGAUCGAAUUGAUUUAGCAGAAGAACUGAGCGAACGUGUGGCAAAGAUUCUAAUAGAAGAGAAGAAUCUUGAUAUUUAUGCUCCACAUGCAGAUUUAAAUUCGUUUUCGGUGUUGGGAAAAGUUGUAUCUGGACGUAGUGUUUCUAUGUUUCGUCAGUUAAUUACAAAAUCAGGUCAACAGAAGCUGGGUUUGGAUGAUAAUGCCGAACGAUUGCUAAUGACAUCAUUAGAGGAAGAAUGUUAUGGAAUUACCAAUUGUAUUGUUGAAUAUCAUCCUCAUCUCUUUCGCAUAAUUGUUGACCAAGGAAAACUGCUACAAAGUGCAAUUGUAAAUAAUCAACUGGAAGUGUUUAAACAGUUUUUCCAUGAGUUCUGUGUGGAAAAGGGAAUUAUAUGCAUUGAGGAUGAAAAUAUUAUCGACGAUAUUAACGAACAAGGCGAGAAUGAAACGUUUGGAAUAGAGAUUCCAUUUAAAGAUGAUUGCUGUGACAUAAGCGGUUAUUUUCGACUAGAAAGCAAUGCAGAAAGCAUUUUGUAUUUAGCGAUACAUUACGGUUACGUAAAAAUGGUUAGUUACAUACUGCAAAAGACGAAUAUCAAAGUUACCGUCAAAUUACUUGAAAAUUUUAUCGAACGAUCAGCUGAUUGGAGUAGCCGCAGUCACGAAAAAUGCAUACCGGUAUUUAAAUUUCUCUUCAAAAAAGCCCUCGUUGACAACAAUGCAGAUCAAGUAGGCAUGAAAUUGUUUUUUAAGAUCAUCAACCGACGGUGCGUGUAUAUGUUGCACAGCUUAUUUGAGAUUGAGUUUGUUCCAAACAACAUCAUGAAUCAUUUGGAUGUAUUUCGACAACUUUUGUAUAUAUCAAAUGAUAAAUACUCGACCAAUAUACUUGUAUACCUUCAACAACGAUCCGAUUUAAAUUGUUUCGAUACCUUUGACCACACGGGUAAAAGUAUUUUUGAUACCGCAAUUGAACGGACAUGCUUUAAAGUAGCGCAAGCGUUAAUUGAAGCCAAAUUCGGCAACCUUUCUCGUUCAGAAAAAGAAAAUGCUAUUCUGGAUUUACUGCAGCAACAAAUAUUAAAAUUUGGAGGAGAAGCAAUUUUUGACUUUAUAAAAAGUCUUCUUUUUGAAAGUUCGCUUAAAGGUGAAAUGGCUAAUGAGACGUGGCAUUCAUUUUAUUCCUAUCUCUUCAAUAAAAUACCCAUUGUCUGAUCUGUUAUUUUUAUGUGUAACCAAUGUUUUCCAGUCAUAUAUUGUGGAACUUGAUGCGACCUUAAUUUCACAAUUACUUUAAAUUACAGUACAACUUGAAAUAAACCACGGAGUUAUCAUCAAUUUUAUCGUUAAGUCCCGCAACAAUAAGUUAUAAUUAAUAAAUUAUGACCAAUAUAUUAAGGUUAAUUGUCAAACAAGAACUUAUGUACGAUAAACUUGCAAGGUAGCGUUACGCAAAUAAAAUACAUACACAAUAGGAGGUCAAGGAAACAAAAGGCACACGAUAAAGUGAGUUGAGAGUGAAUUGAUUGUAGGAAAAUAAGUCAUUCAAUUGAGAAUCAAAGAAUGAAAUUGUACAGUAUAACAGUUAAACUUAGAAAUGUAUGAAGAAUAUAAAUAUAACUUGAAAUAAACAAAACGCAUUUAAACAAUAUUGUUUUUGAGUAAGUAAUUUGCGUUUUUAUCGUUUUUUUUUUUAGUUUUUUUUAUUGAAUAUGGUGCCAUAUGAUGGUUCAUACAGAUGUUUGAAGUAAGUAUUAUUUUAGCAAAAUAUCACACCAAUCCGGAAUCCAAUCUGAUAAAAGUUUAAAAUAUGACCGACGACCUUAUCCGCCCAGUUUUACUAUUUUUUAAGAUUCCCAACGAAAAGAACGAUCGUAAAGAGCGAUAAAAAAUUCGAACCGAAAUUCAUGCACAACACACAAUCGUGAUCGGUUAUGAAAUAAAUUCUUUUGGAAAGAAACACGAAAGAAAGCGAACGACGAUUUGCGUUGUAAUGGCCAUGUAACAAAUUGUUUCAUAUGGAAAAAUAGAUUUAUUAUGUAAAAUAUUCUUUGUGUUUAACAUACCCAGGCGCAUGUUUGAAAGAACACAAAAAUGGUGAUCCCAUCACAGUCCAUGUUAGCAAAUUCCCAUCUAUGCCAGUCGUCUAAAUUUGAAACUGUAUAGUGUUGGGAGUACGCAGUUAAAUCAGAAUAACUAUUUCGGAUUGACGAUACAUGGAACACAGAAAACACGUGUGCACUUUUGUACGUCCAUUGGCGGAAUUCAAACAUGACAUUUCAU